GACGAACGCUGGCGGCGUGCUUAACACAUGCAAGUCGAACGGAAAGGCCCUGCUUUUGUUGGGUGCUCGAGUGGCGAACGGGUGAGUAACACGUGUGUAACAUGCCCUUGAAUUUGGGAUAUCUUCAGGAAACUGGGGCUCAUACAGGAUAGGAGCUUUUGCUGCACGUGGGGGAUAGGAAAGUUUCGGCGGUUGGGGCUGGACUGGAGGGUUAUCAGCUUGUUUGUGAGGUAGUGACUUACAAAGGUUGUGACGGGUAGCAGGCAUGGGAGGUUUGCCGGCCACAUUGCGACUGAGGGACGGAGCAGUCUGCUACGGUCGGCAGCAGGCGAGAAUAUUGCACGAUGGGCGGGAGCGUGAUGCAGCAGUCCCGCGUGCGGAAUGACGGGCUACGGGUUGUAAACAGAUUUCGAAUGUGAUGAAGCGUGAGUGACGGUAAUGGGUAAGGAAGCAACGGCUAACUACGUG
rnacentral:rRNA from 1 species